GACGAACGCUGGCGGCGUGCCUAAUACAUGCAAGUAGAACGCAGUUGCGAACGGGUGAGUAACGCGUAGGUAACUGCCUGGUAGAGGGGGAUAACUAUUGGAAACGAUAGCUAAUACCGCAUACUACCAGAUGGCCCUGCGUUGUAUUAGCUAGUUGGUGGGGUAAUGGCCAACCAAGGCAACGAUACAUAGCCGACCGUAGAGGGUGAUCGGCCACACUGGGACUGAGACACGGCCCAGACUCCUAAGGGAGGCAGCAGUAGGGAAGUGUCGGCAAUGGGGGGAACCCUGACCGAGCAACGCCGCGUUAGUGAAGAAGGUUUUCGGAUCGUAAAGCUCUGUUGUUAAGGAAGCGGUACUUAACCAGAAAGGGACGGCUAACUACGUGCCAGCAGCCGCGGUAAUAC
rnacentral:rRNA from 1 species